rnacentral:rRNA from 1 species
GACGAACGCUGGCGGCGUGCCUAAUACAUGCAAGUCGAACGCAGUUGGGACGGGUGAGUAACCCGUGGGUAACCUCCCAUCAGAGGGGAUAACACUUGGAAACAGGUGCUAAACCGAUACUGAUGGAUGGACCGCCGGUUCAUUAGCUAGUUGGUGAGGUAACGGCUCACCAAGGCCCCGAUGCAUAGCCGACCUGAGAGGGUGAUCGGCCACACUGGGACUGAGACACGGCCCAGACUCCUACGGGAGGCAGCAGUGGGGAAUCUUGGGCAAUGGACGAAAGCCUGACGGAGCAACGCCGCGUGAGUGAAGAAGGUUUUCGGAUCGUAAAACUCUGUUGUUAGAGAAGCGGUAUCUAACCAGAAAGCCACGGCUAACUACGUGCCAGCAGCCGCGGUAAUUC